GAUGAACGCUGGCGGCGUGUCUAAUACAUGCAAGUCGAGCGAACGGACGAGAAGCUUGCUUCUCUGAUGUUAGCGGCGGACGGGUGAGUAACACGUGGAUAACCUACCUAUAAGACUGGGAUAACUUCAGGAAACCGUAGCUAAUACCGGAUAAUAUUUUGAACCGCAUGGUUCAAAAGUGAAAGACGGUCUUGCUGUCACUUAUAGAUGGAUCCGCGCUGCAUUAGCUAGUUGGUAAGGUAACGGCUUACCAAGGCAACGAUGCAUAGCCGACCUGAGAGGGUGAUCGGCCACACUGGAACUGAGACACGGUCCAGACUCCUACGGGAGGCAGCAGUAGGGAAUCUUCCGCAAUGGGCGAAAGCCUGACGGAGCAACGCCGCGUGAGUGAUGAAGGUCUUCGGAUCGUAAAACUCUGUUAUUAGGGAAGAACAUAUGUGUAAGUAACUGUGCACAUCUUGACGGUACCUAAUCAGAAAGCCACGGCUAACUACGUG
rnacentral:rRNA from 1 species